rnacentral:rRNA from 1 species
CCCUUAGAUGUUCUGGGCCGCACGCGCGCUACAUUGAUACGAUCAGCGAGUUGCGACCUGGGCCGAGAGGCCUGGGUAAUCUUGUGAAAUCGUAUCGUGUUGGGGCUUGACGAUUGCAAUUUUUCGUCACAAACGAGGAAUUCCUAGUAAGCGCAAGUCAUCAGCUCGCAUUGAUUACGUCCCUGCCCUUUGUACACACCGCCCGUCGCUCCUACCGAUUGAAUGUUCCGGUGAACACUCCGGAGUCAUGGCUUUGUGCUCUAUGGGCCUUGCUAAUGGUGAAGUUGUGUGAACCUUAACAUUUAGAGGAAGGAGAAGUCGUAACA